rnacentral:rRNA from 1 species
AUUGAACGCUGGCGGCAUGCCUUACACAUGCAAGCCGAACGGCAGCAUGGAGAGCUUGCUCUCUGAUGGCGAGUGGCGAACGGGUGAGUAAAGCAUCGGAACGUACCGUGUAGUGGGGGAUAACGUAGCGAAAGUUACGCUAAUACCGCAUACGCACUGAGGUGGAAAGCAGGGGAUCGUAAGACCUUGCGCUAUACGAGCGGCCGAUGUCAGAUUAGCUAGUUGGUAGGGUAAAGGCCUACCAAGGCGACGAUCUGUAGCGGGUCUGAGAGGAUGAUCCGCCACACUGGGACUGAGACACGGCCCAGACUCCUACGGGAGGCAGCAGUGGGGAAUUUUGGACAAUGGGGGCAACCCUGAUCCAGCCAUGCCGCGUGAGUGAAGAAGGCCUUCGGGUUGUAAAGCUCUUUCGGCCGGGAAGAAAUCGCACAGGCUAAUACCCUGUGUGGAUGACGGUACCGGCAUAAGAAGCACCGGCUAACUACAUGCCAGCAGCCGCCGUAA